GUUUGAUCCUGGCUCAGGAUGAACGCUGGCGGUAUGCUUUACACAUGCAAGUCGUACGAGAGUUUUUAACUCAAGUGGCGGACGGGUGAGUAACACGUAAGAAUUUGCCUUUAGGAGGGGGACAACAACUGGAAACGGUUGCUAAUACCCCAUAUGCUUUCGAGUGAAAUGGUUUUUCCGCCUAAAGAGAAGCUUGCGGCUGAUUAGCUUGUUGGUAAGGUAAUGGCUUACCAAGGCGACGAUCAGUAUCUGGUUUGAGAGGACGAUCAGACACACUGGAACUGAGACACGGUCCAGACUCCUACGGGAGGCAGCAGUGGGGAAUUUUCCGCAAUGGGCGAAAGCCUGACGGAGCAAUACCGCGUGAGGGAUGAAUGCCUAUGGGUUGUAAACCUCUUUUUUCAGGGAGGAACAAAAUGACGUGUACCUGAAGAAUAAGCAUCGGCUAACUCCGUGCCAGCAGCCGCGGUAAGACGGAGGAUGCAAGUGUUAUCCGGAAUCACUGGGCGUAAAGCGUCUGUAGGUGGUUUACUAAGUCAACUGUUAAAUCUUGAGGCUCAACCUCGAAAUCGCAGUCGAAACUAGUAGACUAGAGUAUAGUAGGGGUAAAGGGAAUUUCCAGUGGAGCGGUGAAAUGCGUAGAGAUUGGAAAGAACACCGAUGGCGAAGGCACUUUACUGGGCUAUUACUAACACUGAGAGACGAAAGCUAGGGUAGCAAAUGGGAUUAGAUACCCAGUAGUCCUAGCUGUAAACAAUGGAUACUAGAUGUUGAACAGAUCGACCUGUGCAGUAUUAAAGCUAGCGCGUUAAGUAUCCCGCCUGGGAAGUAUGCUCGCAAGAGUGAAACUCAAAGGAAUUGACG
rnacentral:rRNA from 1 species